AACGAACGCUGGCGGCACGCCUAACACAUGCAAGUCGAGCGCUUCACUUCGGUGAGGAGCGGCGGACGGGUUAGUAACGCGUGGGAACAUACCCUUUUCUAAGGAAUAGCCACUGGAAACGGUGAGUAAUACCUUAUACGCCCUUCGGGGGAAAGAUUUAUCGGUGAAGGAUUGGCCCGCGUUAGAUUAGUUUGUUGGUGGGGUAAUGGCCUACCAAGACUACGAUCUAUAGCUGGUUUGAGAGGAUGAUCAGCAACACUGGGACUGAGACACGGCCCAGACUCCUACGGGAGGCAGCAGUGGGGAAUCUUAGACAAUGGGCGCAAGCCUGAUCUAGCGAUGCCGCGUGAGUGAUGAAGGCCUUAGGGUCGUAAAGCUCUUUCGCCAGGGAUGAUAAUGACAGUACCUGGUAAAGAAACCCCGGCUAACUCCGUGCCAGCAGCCGCGGUAAUACGGAGGGGGUUAGCGUUGUUCGGAAUUACUGGGCGUAAAGCGUACGUAGGCGGAUCAGAAAGUAAGGGGUGAAAUCCCAGGGCUCAACCCUGGAACUGCCUCUUAAACUCCUGGUCUUGAGUUCGAGAGAGGUGAGUGGAAUUCCAAGUGUAGAGGUGAAAUUCGUAGAUAUUUGGAGGAACACCAGUGGCGAAGGCGGCUCACUGGCUCGAUAC
rnacentral:rRNA from 1 species